UACAGAGGGGGCCAGCGUUAUUCGGAAUUAUUGGGCGUAAAGGGCGCGUAGGCGGCCCCUGCGUGUCUUCCGUGAAAUCCCUCGGCUUAACUGAGGACGUGCGGAAGAAACUGCAGGGCUCGAGUCCGGGAGAGGGGGGUGGAAUUCCCAGUGUAGCGGUGAAAUGCGUAGAUAUUGGGAGGAACACCGGUGGCGAAGGCGGCCCCCUGGACCGGUACUGACGCUGAGGCGCGAAAGCGUGGGGAGCAAACGGGG
rnacentral:rRNA from 1 species